rnacentral:rRNA from 1 species
AUUGAACGCUGGCGGCAUGCUUUACACAUGCAAGUCGAACGGUAACAGGCCGCAAGGUGCUGACGAGUGGCGAACGGGUGAGUAAUGCAUCGGAACGUGCCCAGUCGUGGGGGAUAACUACUCGAAAGAGUAGCUAAUACCGCAUACGAUCUAUGGAUGAAAGCGGGGGACCGUAAGGCCUCGCGCGAUUGGAGCGGCCGAUGUCAGAUUAGGUAGUUGGUGGGGUAAAGGCUCACCAAGCCAACGAUCUGUAGCUGGUCUGAGAGGACAACCAGCCACACUGGGACUGAGACACGGCCCAGACUCCUACGGGAGGCAGCAGUGGGGAAUUUUGGGCAAUGGGCGCAAGCCUGAUCCAGCAAUGCCGCGUGCAGGAAGAAGGCCUUCGGGUUGUAAACUGCUUUUGUACGGAACGAAACGGCUCUGGUUAAUACCCGGGGCUAAUGACGGUACCGUAAGAAUAAGCACCGGCUAACUACGUG